AGCGAACGCUGGCGGCAGGCUUAACACAUGCAAGUCGAACGCCCGUAGCAAUACGGGAGUGGCAGACGGGUGAGUAACACGUGGGAACAUACCCUUCGGUUCGGAAUAACUCAGGGAAACUUGAGCUAAUACCGGAUACGUCCGCGAGGAGAAAGAUUCAUCGCCGAAGGAUUGGCCCGCGUCCGAUUAGCUAGUUGGUGAGGUAAUGGCUCACCAAGGCGACGAUCGGUAGCGGUCUGAGAGGAUGACCAGCCACACUGGGACUGAGACACGGCCCAGACUCCUACGGGAGGCAGCAGUGGGGAAUAUUGGACAAUGGGCGCAAGCCUGAUCCAGCCAUGCCGCGUGGGUGAU
rnacentral:rRNA from 1 species